GUAUAAUUCCUUUCUAUAAUCAGCAGUGUUGACUUGGGUAUGAAAUAGGAUAUUGUCAAAGUGACAGGCUGUGACCUAUGAGAUCAAAGCUUUCACUUGGUUCUCUUAGGGCACUUGCACUGGGAGAAACAGCUAUGAUGUCUUGAGCAGUCCCCUGGAGAGAGCCAAGUGGUGAAUUGCAACCUCCUGCCAGCACUGGGCACCAUCUAGGCAGCCAUGGGUGUAAGCUGUAUUGGAAGUGACUCUUCCAGGAAUUCACCAGUGUAGCAGAUUGGAUUCUCUGCAACAACUGCUGAGAUGGAAUUUGAGGAUGAAAGAUGGUUAUUAUGAAUUAACAUCUGUGGAGGGAGACACAGACAGGAUUCAACUCAACUCCAAGUUACUGUGGAGCAAGCAAUGCCCAUUAGGUUUCAGUUGUUUUCAACAGAAGGGCGGGUCCAAGACCAACUCCUCCAUCAGGCAGACCAGAAGAGUUUAAAAAUUUUGGAAGUACAAAAGGCAGCAAGAAACCCAGACCACAGCUUGGAAUGUUUGGCUGUAGACCCUUUCUCAGGUACUGGGGAUUGAACUUGGGACCUUGCACUUGCGUGGCAGGCAGCAGAACCACUGAGCUAAAUCUCCAGCCCAAUGUAACCCAGGCUGGAUUGAACUUUCAACUAUCCUCUUGCUUCAGUCUCCCAAAUGCUGGGAUUACUGGUCUUUGACGGUACUGCCACAUUCCAUAAUCAUAUCUGCAAAAAAGACACAAGUAAAUGGAUCCUGUAUGGAUCUUCAGUUUCAUAUGCUUCUGACAGGUCUCAUCUGAAGUUUGCAAUGAUCUGGAUUGAGAUCUAAUGAUUACUGACUGUUAUCUGAUCACUGUAACAAGGCUACUGAGCCAAGGAAAGUAUCCUUUGACAAGGAUUGGUCAAGAAAACAUCAACAAUGCAGACUGUUCCUAAUAAUAAAACUGUUAUCAUUCCUUGAGUGCUUAAUAUUGGCAGAUCCCACAUACCCAACGUCUGAUUUAAUACUUUCAACAAUUUUAUGAGCCUUGUAGGACAAUCUUUAUUUUACAGAUAGGAAAAUUUCAGUUCACAGAAGUUUGAUAAUUUGCUUAAGAUAUAGCUGAUGAGUGGUUUGUCCCAAGUUUUGAUACCAAACCACAUGCCCUUGUCAU
rnacentral:lncRNA from 1 species